CCGUAUAUGGGCGCAGCCUGAUCCAGCAAUGCCGCGUGAGUGAUGAAGGCCUUAGGGUUGUAAAGCUCUUUUACCAGGGAUGAUAAUGACAGUACCUGGAGAAUAAGCUCCGGCUAACUCCGUGCCAGCAGCCGCGGUAAUAAACAUG
rnacentral:rRNA from 1 species